GGGUUGUGAGGUUAAGCGACUAAGCGUACACGGUGGAUGCCCUGGCAGUCAGAGGCGAUGAAGGACGUGCUAAUCUGCGAUAAGCGUCGGUGAGGUGAUAUGAACCGUUAUAACCGGCGAUUUCCGAAUGGGGAAACCCAGUGUGUUUCGACACACUAUCAUUAACUGAAUCCAUAGGUUAAUGAGGCGAACCGGGGGAACUGAAACAUCUAAGUACCCCGAGGAAAAGAAAUCAACCGAGAUUCCCCCAGUAGCGGCGAGCGAACGGGGAGCAGCCCAGAGCCUGAAUCAGUGUGUGUGUUAGUGGAAGCGUCUGGAAAGGCGCGCGAUACAGGGUGACAGCCCCGUACACAAAAAUGCACAUGCUGUGAGCUCGAUGAGUAGGGCGGGACACGUGGUAUCCUGUCUGAAUAUGGGGGGACCAUCCUCCAAGGCUAAAUACUCCUGACUGACCGAUAGUGAACCAGUACCGUGAGGGAAAGGCGAAAAGAACCCCGGCGAGGGGAGUGAAAAAGAACCUGAAACCGUGUACGUACAAGCAGUGGGAGCCUCUUAAUGGGGUGACUGCGUACCUUUUGUAUAAUGGGUCAGCGACUUAUAUUCUGUAGCAAGGUUAACCGAAUAGGGGAGCCGAAGGGAAACCGAGUCUUAACUGGGCGUUAAGUUGCAGGGUAUAGACCCGAAACCCGGUGAUCUAGCCAUGGGCAGGUUGAAGGUUGGGUAACACUAACUGGAGGACCGAACCGACUAAUGUUGAAAAAUUAGCGGAUGACUUGUGGCUGGGGGUGAAAGGCCAAUCAAACCGGGAGAUAGCUGGUUCUCCCCGAAAGCUAUUUAGGUAGCGCCUCGUGAAUUCAUCUCCGGGGGUAGAGCACUGUUUCGGCAAGGGGGUCAUCCCGACUUACCAACCCGAUGCAAACUGCGAAUACCGGAGAAUGUUAUCACGGGAGACACACGGCGGGUGCUAACGUCCGUCGUGAAGAGGGAAACAACCCAGACCGCCAGCUAAGGUCCCAAAGUCAUGGUUAAGUGGGAAACGAUGUGGGAAGGCCCAGACAGCCAGGAUGUUGGCUUAGAAGCAGCCAUCAUUUAAAGAAAGCGUAAUAGCUCACUGGUCGAGUCGGCCUGCGCGGAAGAUGUAACGGGGCUAAACCAUGCACCGAAGCUGCGGCAGCGACACUAUGUGUUGUUGGGUAGGGGAGCGUUCUGUAAGCCUGUGAAGGUGUACUGUGAGGUAUGCUGGAGGUAUCAGAAGUGCGAAUGCUGACAUAAGUAACGAUAAAGCGGGUGAAAAGCCCGCUCGCCGGAAGACCAAGGGUUCCUGUCCAACGUUAAUCGGGGCAGGGUGAGUCGACCCCUAAGGCGAGGCCGAAAGGCGUAGUCGAUGGGAAACAGGUUAAUAUUCCUGUACUUGGUGUUACUGCGAAGGGGGGACGGAGAAGGCUAUGUUGGCCGGGCGACGGUUGUCCCGGUUUAAGCGUGUAGGCUGGUUUUCCAGGCAAAUCCGGAAAAUCAAGGCUGAGGCGUGAUGACGAGGCACUACGGUGCUGAAGCAACAAAUGCCCUGCUUCCAGGAAAAGCCUCUAAGCAUCAGGUAACAUCAAAUCGUACCCCAAACCGACACAGGUGGUCAGGUAGAGAAUACCAAGGCGCUUGAGAGAACUCGGGUGAAGGAACUAGGCAAAAUGGUGCCGUAACUUCGGGAGAAGGCACGCUGAUAUGUAGGUGAAGUCCCUCGCGGAUGGAGCUGAAAUCAGUCGAAGAUACCAGCUGGCUGCAACUGUUUAUUAAAAACACAGCACUGUGCAAACACGAAAGUGGACGUAUACGGUGUGACGCCUGCCCGGUGCCGGAAGGUUAAUUGAUGGGGUUAGCGGUAACGCGAAGCUCUUGAUCGAAGCCCCGGUAAACGGCGGCCGUAACUAUAACGGUCCUAAGGUAGCGAAAUUCCUUGUCGGGUAAGUUCCGACCUGCACGAAUGGCGUAAUGAUGGCCAGGCUGUCUCCACCCGAGACUCAGUGAAAUUGAACUCGCUGUGAAGAUGCAGUGUACCCGCGGCAAGACGGAAAGACCCCGUGAACCUUUACUAUAGCUUGACACUGAACAUUGAGCCUUGAUGUGUAGGAUAGGUGGGAGGCUUUGAAGUGUGGACGCCAGUCUGCAUGGAGCCGGCCUUGAAAUACCACCCUUUAAUGUUUGAUGUUCUAACGUUGGCCCCUGAUCGGGGUUGCGGACAGUGUCUGGUGGGUAGUUUGACUGGGGCGGUCUCCUCCUAAAGAGUAACGGAGGAGCACGAAGGUUGGCUAAUCCUGGUCGGACAUCAGGAGGUUAGUGCAAUGGCAUAAGCCAGCUUGACUGCGAGCGUGACGGCGCGAGCAGGUGCGAAAGCAGGUCAUAGUGAUCCGGUGGUUCUGAAUGGAAGGGCCAUCGCUCAACGGAUAAAAGGUACUCCGGGGAUAACAGGCUGAUACCGCCCAAGAGUUCAUAUCGACGGCGGUGUUUGGCACCUCGAUGUCGGCUCAUCACAUCCUGGGGCUGAAGUAGGUCCCAAGGGUAUGGCUGUUCGCCAUUUAAAGUGGUACGCGAGCUGGGUUUAGAACGUCGUGAGACAGUUCGGUCCCUAUCUGCCGUGGGCGCUGGAGAACUGAGGGGGGCUGCUCCUAGUACGAGAGGACCGGAGUGGACGCAUCACUGGUGUUCGGGUUGUCAUGCCAAUGGCACUGCCCGGUAGCUAAAUGCGGAAGAGAUAAGUGCUGAAAGCAUCUAAGCACGAAACUUGCCCCGAGAUGAGUUCUCCCUGACUCCUUGAGAGUCCUGAAGGAACGUUGAAGACGACGACGUUGAUAGGCCGGGUGUGUAAGCGCAGCGAUGCGUUGAGCUAACCGGUACUAAUGAACCGUGAGGCUUAACCUUACAACGCCGAAGGUGUUU
rnacentral:rRNA from 1 species